GACGUAGGGCGCGAGCGUUGUCCGGAUUUAUUGGGCGUAAAGAGCUCGUAGGCGGCUCGUUGCGUCGGCUGUGAAAACCCGCAGCUCAACUGUGGGCUUGCAGCCGAUACGGGCGGGCUUGAGUUCGGUAGGGGAGACUGGAAUUCCUGGUGUAGCGGUGAAAUGCGCAGAUAUCAGGAGGAACACCAGCGGCGAAGGCGGCGCUCUGGGCCGGUACUGACACUGAGGAGCGAAAGCAUGGGGAUCAAACAGG
rnacentral:rRNA from 1 species